rnacentral:lncRNA from 1 species
AUUGGUAAUUAGUAUUAUGAAAAACCCAACAGAUCCAGCUUAAUUAAAGUUCUGCUGUGCUAAAUGGCCUGCAAGUUCAGAGCAAGAGGCCCUCUCAGGGAGACUCUCUGUUCUGAAACGAAAACAAAAAAAAUCAAGUGUGAUUACAGUCAUGCGAAGGGUUUAAUGGAUGUUAUUCAGUCCUAGGGUCUGGAUUUUGCAUUCUGGGAGACGAAAUGCUGCAGGCAGAGAAUUAAGAGAGACCAUGCCAUUAAGACUCAUCCGUUUGUAAGUAAAUGACUAGGUGAGAGAUUCUUUUGUCACCUACACCCAUAAAGAUAUUUUUCAAAAAAUAAUGGAACCUCACUGGUAGAAAGUGUCAAAACUGACUUUGUCGCACUUGCAUUUCUGUUUCUUUAUCAGCAAAACUGAUUAUUAAAUAUCUUUAAUAAAAGUACUAAAUCUUGGGAAACUGAGAUUAUAACUGUUAAGCAAAUCUAUCUGUAAGUAGAUGCAGCUGCAAAUUCUUCUGUUUUAAUGAGAGUUGCUAGAUGGAAACUGAAUUUGGUGUAAUUGAGUUUGUGGAGGCAAUUAGUGGGGUGAGACUAAUAUUGUAGAUUAAGAGUAAUGCUCACAGGUUGCUUAUUUAUGAAGCAGCCCAGUUGUGUUGUAUCUAGAGAUAUCUGCUCUAAUGUCUUUUUUGUUUUAUGGAAAUUUUAUGCUUUGGAUCAAAAACAUUAGUAGCUCAUGUCAUGGGAUGAUAUAAUCUCUAUUGACUUUUUUUAAAUCAUACAAGGAAUACAUUUGGAUAUGUUUUGCCUAAGAAGAUGUGUCUCUACUUAAAGUGUGUUACAUGGCAUUGGCUGCUACAGUGAAUCAUAAAUAAAUAAGCAAUUUAUCUAGGCCACUCGAGUUCACUGAAAAUUUUGGCUAUGAUUGUAUUUGGUAACUGAAUAUUCAGCUGUACACCGAAGGGAAUUUUCAAAACUGCAUUAAUUGACUCCUUCCUAUUGAUUUCGAGGGAAAGCGAGUGUUCUUUCUGCUAAAACUUUUCCAUUAAUUGAAAACAUUACGUACAUAUAUAUAUAAUGCACUUAUUUCACUUUGGUUACUUGAAGCGUCUCCAUAAUGCCAAGGCAAUAUAUAUUUGGCUUAACAGAGCGAAAAAGGAUUGCUCAACUUGAUUAAUUUACUGCCUGAAGUUUUAACAGAUGCUUAGCUAACUGUGUGUGUGUGUUGGCAUAGAUUCAAGCACAGUAACUAAUUAGAAAACAAUGUGAGGGCAAAGGUGAUGGCUGAAAAGGCCUUCACUUGCUAAUCAAUCAGUCGUGUGUUACUUAAUUUCAUCAGUGUUUAAAGUAACUUUUAGGAUGCUACAGAAAUAGGUAUGGCUAAAACAUCCUUCUAGGGAAGCUUUAAUAUCUCAGAACAAAGAUGCUGGAUUUCUGACCAAUCGGGAAGGGGAGCAAAGCAGUCAUUUUAAUAAAGCAGCAGAACAAAGGGAAUGGCCCGUAUGCCUGCUGUAACAUCACUGCACUCAUACGAAAAUUGAUAGUGAAGGGGAAAAUACUAUGUACUCAGAGCUGGUUUGGUUGUAGAUACUCACUAAUGGCACUUGAUACUUCUUGAUAGUUCUAGUUCACUCGUUGUGUAUCAUGUGCAAUAAUGCUCCUGUUAAUGUAUCUCUUAUAAUUUCUACCUUUGUGUUUGGUUAUCUAGUUGUUCAUAAUCAAGGCUGUCCUGAGUCAUGGCCAGGGUAAUUGAAUCUGUCUUAAAGGCAGCUCGGAUAUGUUGCUCAAUCCGUUGAGUUGUGCAGGCUGAUCCAAGAAAGAGAUGAGGGUUUGUGCUGACUCUGAAUUCCAUCAGUUCUAAUCUUGUGAAUCAUACCUAAGGAAUCUUAAUAAUUGAAAAAUCAAAAGGCCUUUCUUUGAGUGUUUCCUGUUAGUGCACAGAUCUUUAAUUGCUGGGCUCUAUAUUAUGAACAGAAACAUUGUUUUGCUUUUUGCAGUCAAUUGCUUAUAUGUACUUAGAAAUGUUGAACUAGAUAUUUAGUUGGUGGCACUUUUUGCAAGUAAAAUGUGACACGAUAUAAAAAAUGGUGAGUGUGUUUUCCUGUUGGGUGACUGUGCAGCUGCUUUCUUCAGUUGUGGGUACUUUUGUCAUACUUCAGUCUCUCUGUAAAUCUGUGAAGGAAAUGUAACUCGGAUACUAGUGGUUUUCAAGAAAAACAGUUGAAGUUUUUGCAGAUCUUUCAGUUCUGCUGAAUGCUUUGUAGGAAAAAAAAAUUUGACAAAACAAUGUAUUAUAUGAAUAACACAAGACUUUUACAGGAGAUACUGUUUGUAAACUGCUGCUAUUAAAAAAAAAAUCUAUGCAAAUUUGAAUGUUGUUAUAUAUAUAUAUGUAAAAAAAUAAAAUCUGUACCCUAACAAGUGUGAUAUUUAGAAAAAUACAAUACUAGCCAUAAAAAUUCUGCCCUUAAAUCAAGGGUAAAGCCAUGUUGCAUGAAAAACUACAUUUAAACAACAUUUACCAGUCUAUCUCAACAUUUGCCAUUCUUAAUUUCAGCAGAGUGUCUCAGUAAAAUCUCUAGUCAGCCUUUCCAAGCUGGAUGUGAUUGGAAGGCUAAGGGAAGAAAUUU